AAAAGAAAAGGGGUGAAAAGAACAAAGUUUUGUCCAUCUUUGUUCAUCAUAGCUAAAAGUUAGAGAAGAGAAAGGAGAGGAGAAAGCUCUUGAGUAUUCGGUCAUUAGGAGGAGGAAAAUUGAAGGCGGUUCGUGUGUGGAUCUCGUCAGCAUAUCGUCGCAAACAGGUGUGUAACUAACACCCUCUUUCUUAGUCUAGAUCGGCAAAAGCCGAAAAGUCGAAAUGCCGAAAACUGGUAUUUUGUAGAUUUGCGAGUGUGCGAAUGCUCGUGAGGUAAAUCGAUUAAUGUUUUUGGUAAGCUGCAAUGUUUGGACUGCAAAGUGCACGAUUUCUAUGCCCUCGAUAUUUUUGGGCUUAAUGGGCCAAAA